GGACAGAUGGGAGCUUGCUCCCUGAUGUUAGCGGCGGACGGGUGAGUAACACGUGGGUAACCUGCCUGUAAGACUGGGAUAACUCCGGGAAACCGGGGCUAAUACCGGAUGGUUGUUUGAACCGCAUGGUUCAGACAUAAAAGGUGGCUUCGGCUACCACUUACAGAUGGACCCGCGGCGCAUUAGCUAGUUGGUGAGGUAACGGCUCACCAAGGCGACGAUGCGUAGCCGACCUGAGAGGGUGAUCGGCCACACUGGGACUGAGACACGGCCCAGACUCCUACGGGAGGCAGCAGUAGGGAAUCUUCCGCAAUGGACGAAAGUCUGACGGAGCAACGCCGCGUGAGUGAUGAAGGUUUUCGGAUCGUAAAGCUCUGUUGUUAGGGAAGAACAAGUGCCGUUCAAAUAGGGCGGCACCUUGACGGUACCUAACCAGAAAGCCACGGCUAACUACGUGCCAGCAGCCGCGGUAAUACGUAGGUGGCAAGCGUUGUCCGGAAUUAUUGGGCGUAAAGGGCUCGCAGGCGGUUUCUUAAGUCUGAUGUGAAAGCCCCCGGCUCAACCGGGGAGGGUCAUUGGAAACUGGGGAACUUGAGUGCAGAAGAGGAGAGUGGAAUUCCACGUGUAGCGGUGAAAUGCGUAGAGAUGUGGAGGAACACCAGUGGCGAAGGCGACUCUCUGGUCUGUAACUGACGCUGAGGAGCGAAAGCGUGGGGAGCGAACAGGAUUAGAUACCCUGGUAGUCCACGCCGUAAAC
rnacentral:rRNA from 1 species